rnacentral:rRNA from 1 species
GAACCGGACGAACGUUAUUCGGAAUUAUUGGGCUUAAAGGGUGCGUAGGCGGCUUGGUAAGUUGGAUGUGAAAGCCCUCGGCUCAACCGAGGAAUUGCGUCCAAAACUGCCAGGCUUGAGGGAGACAGAGGCGAGCGGAACUUAGGGUGGAGCGGUGAAAUGCGUUGAUAUCCUAAGGAACACCAGUGGCGAAGGCGGCUCGCUGGGUCUCUUCUGACGCUGAGGCACGAAAGCUAGGGGAGCGAACGGGAUUAGAUACCCCGGUAGUCCUAGCUGUAAACGAUGAGCACUUGGUUGGAGGAUUUUCACUGAUCUUCCGGCCCGGAGCGAAAGUGUUAAGUGCUCCGCCUGGGGGAGUAUGGUCGCAAGGCUGA